AUAAUUCCCUGUAUAUAAAGCGGUCACCCCCUGCUAUUUUUAAAGAAUAAAAACUUAGAAAAAAGGUUGAUUGAUAUUAAAAAUUACUUGAUGAUUGUCGCAUGAUUGUGUGUGUGUGUGUGUGUAUGCGCGGGUUGUUGGCUCGAUUUACCCGAAGUAAACAGCACGUAUCGACGUAGCAAAUGUGCGUGUACACAUCUUGCGUGCAAACAGUGCUUAAGUUCGAAUAAGCGCACUCGUCAUCCUCGCACCAAGCGAAUUUUAAUUCCGCGAACGAUAAUCAGCCGUCGUACGACAAUUAGCAAGUCGCGGAAUGGCACGGCCAAGGUCGUAACGGCAGCAGUCACCGACAUAAAAUUUUCUUUGCAAGCUUGCUCGUAGCCUUUGUUUCCUUUAUCUAUAGUCCUCAGUCACCGUGAGAAUUAUGCGGAUGUGACAUCGCUUCCUUAUCCAUUUUUGAUGAUCGCGUCGUUAAUUUCGUACGACGCAUGUUUCGUUAAUUCGUCUGCGAUCCAUAUUAAUCCAUAUUAUCCAUAUCCGUUGUGAAGAAAGAUGACUAAGCAUAUACACGUGGAUGAUGAUGGAUAUUCAUCGUCACUCAUUAUAUGAUUGAUGAGUACGAUCUUGCAGCCGUGAGCGAGUAGAAUGCAGUUACUCGCAGUAAUAAUCGGCAUUCCAACGGUCGUCAUUAUUGUAAGUAAUGAAUAAGUUCCCGUACUUUCUUCGGAAACUAAAUGUAUAUAUGUAAAUUCCACUCUUGAAAAGCGAUUUACAACUUGUGAAUGAUGGUUGUUGUAACACAAUUUUUGUAAACCUUUAUGAAUGCAAGAAAAAUGUUUCAUCCCCUGCUAAUUACUAAUGCAGCUAAUUCCAGAUGUGUUUACAGAGAUCGUAACUAAUAACUCUUAAUAAUUCCUAUUUUCCUAGGAAAAUUUAUCAUGUUUAGAAAAGCGCACGCACAAGUUAGGUAAUUACCUUGAUAAAUAAAUCAAGAUUAUACGCUUUUACAUUUUGCUUUUCUGCCUUUAGGUGUGUCCUUGUCCUUGUAUCUCAUUUCUCGCGUUGAAAAUUGAUUAUUCUAUAAAAUUUAUCUGUCAGCUGUUGCAACAAUUUUAAUCACAAAUUCUCAUCUUUAGAUCGCUUUCGCCAAAUCUCAUCUAAUCUCACGCAAUUCUCGAGUUUCCACUAGACGUGAUUCGAAUACUUGAUAUUGAUGAAGAGACACCGAACACCUGCUCAUUGAUCUUCUAUAACACGCAAAUCGUAGGCUUGUUCGUCGUGCGCGCUUUCUUACAAAUAAGGACCACCCAGUGCCAAAGUUCGUUGCGCGCAUCGCGAAUAGUAGUAAAUUAUAUAAAUAGCUAAUGGCAUCUGUGUCUCGAUUGCGUUUCUGAUUUUGCAGAGUGGCUCAAUCGAAUGGCUCGCACGGACCUUGAAUGCCGAUUUCUAGUCGAUAUUGUAUACGUCAUUUACGAUCGUUACGCGUCACGGACACACGAUCAUCGUACACCCACUUAAAGGCAUGGCACCAGUCAAAAAUGCGAUGUUUGGUCCACAGAUGCGACCAAGGAUUUGAAAUGGUGUAAUCUUGCCAAUCUUUUUGAAUCUUUAUGAAGUUUGCUCAAAAAGUCCUUGAUUAUUUACAUUUUUAUUCGUCGUGAAGUCUAUUCUUAUUCAACAUUUAUUUACUUAUUAAAUGAUACGUAAGAGACUAGUAGGUUGGUUUCGCAUGUGGCAAUAUCGUUUCUUUAUUUGAAUCACAAAAGCACUCUGAGAAUAAUGCAAUAGAUAGAAAAAGCAAAAGUAAAGCUAAAUUUUAAAAGAGUUUUAAUAAGUAUGACUACAACUGUUAUGUAAUAUUCAUAUGUUAAAUGAAUAUGUUAAUUUGCCUUUUCUUUACUUAUUGUUUACAAUGCAUUUUUGGAUUGAGAUGAUUAGAUAUAAAUCUUCAAAAUAUUCAAUAUUCAAUACCGUAUCACAUUUAGUUCCAAUUAUGCUUUUCAAAAUAUUUAUUUUUCUCGUUGCAACAUUUUAUAUAUGAAAAAUAUGUAUAUUAUUUUAUAUAGAGUUUUAUAUAGAGUUAGCGGCUUUUUUCUAGAAUAAAUAACAAAUCUUUAUUUAUUUAAAAAGUAGGAAUAUCAAGAAAAAAAGGAAAUAAAAAAAUUAUAUUUAUUAGAAUUUAAAUAUUCUGAUCAAAGUCCAAGUAAUUUAAUCUCGAAAUAUUUACAAUCAAGAUUAUUCUUUCAUAAACGCCGUCUCGAUAGCAUUCUUAAAUUACUGCACUACACAAUGUAGAGAAGGAUGUAACAAUCAUCUAAAUUUGAGCAUAUUAUUCAUGAGCAUUUAAAUGACUAUGUAAAAGAUAGUAUGCUAAAUAAAGAUCAAAAGUUAAAAUAUAGACAUGUAAUUAUAUACAAUAGACAUGUAAUUAUAGACAAUAGACUAUAUAUUAUAGAUAAUGACUAUGUAUUAAAGAUUAAUAGACAACAGAUUAAAAAUACACACACACACACAUGAUUGAGUAUAUA